rnacentral:rRNA from 1 species
GUGCCAGCAGCCGCGGUAAGACGAGGGAUCCUAGCGUUGUUCGGAAUCACUGGGCGUAAAGCGUUUGUAGGCGGCUCUAUAAGUCGGGUGUGAAAUCCCAUGGCUCAACCAUGGAAGUGCAUUCGAAACUGCAGAGCUUGAAUAUGGAAGAGGGCAGUAGAAUUCCUGGUGUAGUGGUGAAAUACGUAGAUAUCAGGAGGAAUACCGGUGGCGAAGGCGGCUGACUGGUCCAAUAUUGACGCUGAGAAACGAAAGUGCGGGGAUCAAACAGGAUUAGAUACCCUGGUAGUCC